UUGAACGCUGGCGGCAGGCCUAACACAUGCAAGUCGAGCGGAUGAAGGGAGCUUGCUCCUGGAUUCAGCGGCGGACGGGUGAGUAAUGCCUAGGAAUCUGCCUGGUAGUGGGGGAUAACGUCCGGAAACGGGCGCUAAUACCGCAUACGUCCUGAGGGAGAAAGUGGGGGAUCUUCGGACCUCACGCUAUCAGAUGAGCCUAGGUCGGAUUAGCUAGUUGGUGGGGCAAAGGCCUACCAAGGCGACGAUCCGUAACUGGUCUGAGAGGAUGAUCAGUCACACUGGAACUGAGACACGGUCCAGACUCCUACGGGAGGCAGCAGUGGGGAAUAUUGGACAAUGGGCGAAAGCCUGAUCCAGCCAUGCCGCGUGUGUGAAGAAGGUCUUCGGAUUGUAAAGCAUUUUAAGUUGGGAGGAAGGGCAGUAAGUUAAUACCUUGCUGUUUUGACGUUACCAACAGAAUAAGCACCGGCUAACUUCGUG
rnacentral:rRNA from 1 species